GAGCAUGUAGCUUAGUUGGUAGAGUACUUGCCUAGGAUGCAUGAGGCUCUGGGUUCAAUCCCAGAAUGCACU
rnacentral:tRNA from 1 species